CUCCGGUUGAUCCCGCCCGACCCGACUGCUAUCAGAGUGGGACUAAGCCAUGCGAGUCGACGUAGCAAUGCGUGGCGAACGGCUCAGUAACACGUAGUCAACAUGCCCAGGGGACGUGGAUAACCUCGGGAAACUGAGAAUAAACCACGAUAGGUCACGAUUUCUGGAAUGGAUCAUGGCCUAAAUCUACAUGGCCCCUGGAUUGGACUGCGGCCGAUCAGGCUGUUGGUGAGGUAAUGGCCCACCAAACCUAUAACCGGUACGGGCUCUGAGAGGAGAAGCCCGGAGAUGGGCACUGAGACAAGGGCCCAGGCCCUAUGGGGCGCAGCAGGCGCGAAACCUCUGCAAUAGGCGAAAGCCUGACAGGGUUACUCUGAGUGAUUUCCGCUAAGGGGAUCUUUUGGCACCUCUAAAAAUGGUGCAGAAUAAGGGGUGGGCAAGUCUGGUGUCAGCCGCCGCGGUAAUACCAGCACCCCGAGUGGUCGGGACGAUUAUUGGGCCUAAAGCAUCCGUAGCCGGUUCUGCAAGUCUUCCGUUAAAUCCAGCCGCUCAACGGAUGGGCCGCGGAGGAUACUACAGGACUAGGAGGCGGGAGAGGCAAGCGGUACUCAGUGGGUAGGGGUAAAAUCCUUUGAUCCAUUGAAGACCACCAGUGGCGAAGGCGGCUUGCCAGAACGCGCUCGACGGUGAGGGAUGAAAGCUGGGGGAGCAAACCGGAUUAGAUACCCGGGUAGUCCCAGCUGUAAACGAUGCAGACUCGGUGAUGGGCUAGCCUUGUGCCAGCCCAGUGCCGCAGGGAAGCCGUUAAGUUUGCCGCCUGGGAAGUACGGACGCAAGUCUGAAACUUAAAGGAAUUGGCGGGGGGAGCA
rnacentral:rRNA from 1 species